rnacentral:lncRNA from 1 species
AUGUUGCCCGAAGGAUGCGGAAGAAAAAGACUUCAGGACUGGAAGCGCUCUUACCCCAAGAUCGGUCACCUUUCCCCUUUCCCAAUUCCCCGCACCAGUUCACACCAGCAACUGAGAUUUAGGCCUGUUUUCCCGAAGGGCCUCGGCCAGUCCCUGCACUUAGUAGGCAUGCAAUAAACCUUGAAAGCCCAAA